GUUUUCUUUGACUUGAAAGUUGUCGCUUCUUGUCAAGUUACCUUAUUUCACUUCCUUCUCACUUUGGUUCUGAUCAAGCCAUACUUAGGAAACAUGAAUGUCCUGCGUUUCUUGAUCGGUGUUCUUGGAAAUGCAGCCGGUCUGUUCCUUUUCUUGGCGCCUGUGGUUACGUUCAAGAGGAUCAUAAGAAGCCGGUCGACUGAGCAGUUCUCGGGCAUCCCCUACGUCAUGACCCUUCUUAAUUGCAUCGUCUUCGCUUGGU